rnacentral:tRNA from 1 species
CGCGAUGUAGAGCAGUCUGGUUAGCUCGCUUGCUUGCUUUGCAAGAGGUCAUCGGUUCGAAUCCGGUCAUCGCUACUA